rnacentral:rRNA from 1 species
GUUGAACGCUGGCGGCAGGCUUAACACAUGCAAGUCGAGCGGGGGAAGGUAGCUUGCUACUGGACCUAGCGGCGGACGGGUGAGUAAUGCUUAGGAAUCUGCCUAUUAGUGGGGGACAACAUCUCGAAAGGGAUGCUAAUACCGCAUACGUCCUACGGGAGAAAGCAGGGGAUCUUCGGACCUUGCGCUAAUAGAUGAGCCUAAGUCGGAUUAGCUAGUUGGUGGGGUAAAGGCCUACCAAGGCGACGAUCUGUAGCGGGUCUGAGAGGAUGAUCCGCCACACUGGGACUGAGACACGGCCCAGACUCCUACGGGAGGCAGCAGUGGGGAAUAUUGGACAAUGGGGGGAACCCUGAUCCAGCCAUGCCGCGUGUGUGAAGAAGGCCUUAUGGUUGUAAAGCACUUUAAGCGAGGAGGAGGCUACUCUAAUUAAUACCUAGGGAUAGUGGACGUUACUCGCAGAAUAAGCACCGGCUAACUCUGUGCCAGCCGCCGCGGUAA